UACGGAGGGUGCGAGCGUUGUCCGGAAUCACUGGGCGUAAAGAGCUCGUAGGCGGUUCGUCGCGUCGGCUGUGAAAACCCGGAGCUCAACUCCGGGCCUGCAGUCGAUACGGGCGGACUCGAGUUCGGCAGGGGAGACUGGAAUUCCUGGUGUAGCGGUGAAAUGCGCAGAUAUCAGGAAGAACACCCGUGGCUAAGGCGGCUCUCUAGUACGGUACUGACGCUGAGACGCGAAAGCGUGGGGAGCGAACAGG
rnacentral:rRNA from 1 species